UCCGUAGGUGGCAAGCGUUGUCCGGAUUUAUUGGGUUUAAAGGGUGCGUAGGCGGCCAAUUAAGUCAGUGCUGAAAUCCUCUAGCUUAACUAGAGGGGUGGCAUUGAUACUGAUUGGCUUGAGUGAAGUCGAAGUAGGCGGAAUUGACGGUGUAGCGGUGAAAUGCUUAGAUAUCGUCAAGAACACCGAUAGUGAAGACAGCUUACUAGACUUCAACUGACGCUGAGGCACGAAAGUGUGGGGAUCAAACAGG
rnacentral:rRNA from 1 species